AUUGAACGCUGGCGGAAUGCUUUACACAUGCAAGUCGAACGGCAGCACGGACUUCGGUCUGGUGGCGAGUGGCGAACGGGUGAGUAAUGUAUCGGAACGUGCCCAGUCGUGGGGGAUAACGUAGUGAAAAUUACGCUAAUACCGCAUACGAUCUAUGGAUGAAAGCGGGGGAUCGCAAGACCUCGCGCGAUUGGAACGGCCGAUAUCAGAUUCGGUAGUUGGUGGGGUAAAGGCCCACCAAGCCAACGAUCUGUAGCUGGUCUGAGAGGACGACCAGCCACACUGGAACUGAGACACGGUCCAGACUCCUACGGGAGGCAGCAGUGGGGAAUUUUGGACAAUGGGCGAAAGCCUGAUCCAGCCAUUCCGCGUGCAGGAUGAAGGCCCUCGGGUUAUAAACUGCUUUUGUACAGAACGAAAAGGUUUCUACUAAUACUAGGAGCUCAUGACGGUACUGUAAGAAUAAGCACCGGCUAACUACGUGCCAGCCGCCGCGGUAA
rnacentral:rRNA from 1 species